GAUGAACGCUGGCGGCGUGCUUAACACAUGCAAGUCGAACGGUGAACACGGAGCUUGCUCUGUGGGAUCAGUGGCGAACGGGUGAGUAACACGUGAGCAACCUGCCCCUGACUCUGGGAUAAGCGCUGGAAACGGCGUCUAAUACUGGAUACGAGUAACGGCCGCAUGGUCAGUUACUGUAAAGAUUUUUUGGUUGGGGAUGGACUCGCGGCCUAUCAGCUUGUUGGUGAGGUAAUGGCUAACCAAGGCGUCGACGGGUAGCCGGCCUGAGAGGGUAACCGGCCACACUGGGACUGAGACACGGCCCAGACUCCUACGGGAGGCAGCAGUGGGGAAUAUUGCACAAUGGGCGAAAGCCUGAUGCAGCAACGCCGCGUGAGGGAUGACGGCCUUCGGGUUGUAAACCUCUUUUAGCAGGGAAGAAGCGAAAGUGACGGUACCCGCAGAAAAAGCGCCGGCUAACUACGUGCCAGCCGCCGCCGUAA
rnacentral:rRNA from 1 species